UAGAGCUGGGGCAGUGAUGGGUUCUGCAUGCUGCGUCGGACACAGAGUGGAACCCUAGCGACCUGCGAUACACAUCUCCUCUCCAUCACACUGGGCUCUGGUUGUGCAUGUGUGAUGCUGCAGUACAAGAUUGAUAACCUCACCCCAUACAAUGCCGACAACUGCGUGUGUAUUGAUUCUAAUCCUCAUGUUGAAGCAAACUACACAGUUUCAUUGAUCGUUGAAGAAAGUAUGCAUUGGGCCCCCGGGCAGCCGAAGAACCUCCAUGUGACUGACUCCUCCAACUCCACCAUCUCCCUGGCCUGGGCUCAGCCGGAGCUGGGGGCGAGCCCUCGGGAAACAUCCUGGAGAUCCAGGCUGACACAAUUGAAUACAAUAUUCUGAGUCUUUGACUGUGCUGUACCGCAUUAUAGAGAGAGACAAGACCAUUCCUCAGUGAUCAUGGUGUGAAAAUCUGCAUUGAAGGCAUCUCCCUCAUCGAUUUGUUGUUUGUAAGUGAUUUUUGGAGGAUUGCAAUAGCAAGCAUUUGUCAACUGAGCGCCUGAUGCUAGCCUAAAGCUUUUUCCUUUUCUCCCAUUGUGAAUGAAAGUGACUGGCAACAGGAAGAUGCAGCAUUUUAUAUAUUACAGAAUUCAGGUCAGAGCCAAGCUGAAAAACCAAAUGCAGG